GUAGUCAUAUGCUUGUCUCAAAGAUUAAGCCAUGCAUGUCUAAGUAUAAGCAAUUUAUACAGUGAAACUGCGAAUGGCUCAUUAAAUCAGUUAUCGUUUAUUUGAUAGUUCCUUUACUACAUGGAUAACCGUGGUAAUUCUAGAGCUAAUACAUGCGUAAAGUCCCGACUUCUGGAAGGGAUGUAUUUAUUAGAUAAAAAAUCAAUGUCUUCGGACUCAAUGAUGAUUCAUAAUAACUUUUCGAAGCUCAUGGCUUUUUGCUGGAGCUGGUUCAUUCAAAUUUCUGCCCUAUCAACUUUCGAUGGUAGGAUAGUGGCCUACCAUGGUUUUCACGGGUAACGGGGAAUAAGGGUUCGAUUCCGGAGAGGGAGCCUGAGAAACGGCUACCACAUCCAAGGAAGGCAGCAGGCGCGCAAAUUACCCAAUCCUAAUUCAGGGAGGUAGUGACAAUAUAUAACAAUACAGGGCCCAUUUGGGUCUUGUAAUUGAAAUGAGUACAAUGUAAAUACCUUAACGAGGAACAAUGGAGGGCAAGUCUGGUGCCAGCAGCC
rnacentral:rRNA from 1 species